UUACAGGUCUGGCAAUUGGAAUGAGAACAAUUUAAAUCCCUUAUCGAGUAUCAAUUGGAGGGCAAGUCUGGUGCCAGCAGCCGCGGUAAUUCCAGCUCCAAUAGCGUAUAUUAAAGUUGUUGCAGUUAAAAAGCUCGUAGUUGGAUUUCUGGCAGGGGUGAGCGGCCACACACUAUGUGUGUGAACUCGCGUUGUCUCUGGCCAUCCUUGGGGAGAUCCUGUUUGGCAUUAAGUUGUCGGGCAGGGGAUACCCAUCGUUUACUGUGAAAAAAUUAGAGUGUUUAAAGCAGGCUUAUGCCGUUGAAUAUAUUAGCAUGGAAUAAUAAGAUAGGACUUUGAGUCUAUUUUGUUGGUUUGCGAGUCAAAGUAAUGAUUAAUAGGGAUAGUUGGGGGUAUUCGUAUUUCAUUGUCAGAGGUGAAAUUCUUGGAUUUCUGAAAGACGAACUACUGCGAAAGCAUUUACCAAGGAUGUUUUCAUUAAUCAAGAACGAAAGUUAGGGGAUCGAAGAUGAUUAGAUACCAUCGUAGUCUUAACCAUAAACUAUGCCGACUCAGGAUUG
rnacentral:rRNA from 1 species